rnacentral:lncRNA from 1 species
GGCCGCUCCACGGUCCGGGCAGACACUGACCUUGCGACAGCCCUGGGAGUCCACAAAGUCAGCACUUCCUUCGUCUCUGCUCCCCGUGAAGGCUAGGGGAGACAGCCCGAUUUCCAGCGCCCUGCCCUUUAUUUUAAAUUUCUGGUACUGAGGAUUGAAUCCAGGGACGCUCUACUACAAAGCAAUACCCUCCCCUCCCUUUGAGGCAGGGUCGCAAAGUCAGUAAGUUGCGCCUCUCUGAGAUUUGGUGUCCUGACAGUGGAAUACAGCAGUGUGGGGAGGAGGAGGAGGAGAGAAAUGGGUCCCUGGGACCCAGGAAGAAUCUCAAGUGAGAAUUGAAGGCCACGGGGAGAGUGAGGAGAGCGACUUCAGCAAAAAGGAGGAGGCAGCAAGUGGCAUUUUCUCCCUGAGCCCGGACUCACAAGGUGGAAGGGGAGCUCAAAAAUUGCAGAUACAAGGUGACUGCCGACAACCCCAGAGGCCUGCACAGAGAAGCACCCCAGUGGAAUGGAGCAGUGGACACAGAGGACUGCACUGGCUGGUGCGGGCAGAGAUGCUGACGUUAACGUUCCUAGUCCCUGAGGGAGCUCGAAGUUCAGAAAGACACCGGGGAGCCACCCUGGACAGCUGCCACAGCCUGCGACCGGCCUGCGCCCGAGAGGCCAAUCUCCCCAAGGCGCCAGGCCAGUGAGCAGCAGGCUCCCAGGGACUCAGAACCACGUGACAUUUUCACAGCGCCUCGAAGUCGCGGAGGAAAACCUGGGCGCAGCUGCUUGCUAAUCCAGGGUUCCGUUUCUGUCCGCUCAGUGACAGCGUUAAAUUCCCGUGUGCCAAAGCUGAGGCAGGGAGCUCACUCUUCAGGCGGGCCCAGGCUGAGACUGCCGCCUUGGAGCGAAGGCUCCUCCUCCCACCCUUAGACUGGAGACCCCAGCAGAACGCAGCACUCGUGAGUGAGCCCAGUGAGCAGACAGCUGGGCUGAGGACCUGCCAGGCCCCACUGGACGCUGCACUCGAUGCCCCAGAGGCGACUCAGGACGCGGCACCCCCUGGGUGCCUGGCAGCGGCCGCGGAGCUGCCCAGGUCCAGGCCAUUCUGCAGCUGGCAGGCCUUCCUUGGGAGAGGCGAAGGUGUCCCGAGGUGUCUGGGGGCCACGGGGCCCCGAGGGGCUGCGUGCGAGGUCACACACACGGCUCACUCACAGAUGUCUCACUUUAUUUGCACACGGCUGAGUUCCAGUGACCUCGUGACUCACACCCAUCAUCUGCAGUACAUGGCGACAGCUCAAGACGGUGACACAAUACUUAGAACAGAUUCAUCAUAUUUGGUCUUUAUGUAAAUAAGAAAUGUUUUUAAAUUGCCUAAAUAUACCAUUCUGAGCCAUUUCAUUCCAUCAGGAAAAUACAGGGCUUUUUUCCUCUCUUUAAAAAAAAUUAAAUACCAAAGCAACUACAUUUAAAUAAAUAACACUAUGAUGAUGACAUUAAAAAAUUC